AGUUUUAUAGUCAACUAUGAUUUUAAAUUGCAAAUUUAAAGGUAAACUAAGGUUUUAAAACUU
rnacentral:tRNA from 1 species